rnacentral:rRNA from 1 species
UUAAGCGACUAAGCGUACACGGUGGAUGCCCUGGCAGUCAGAGGCGAUGAAGGACGUGCUAAUCUGCGAAAAGCGUCGGUAAGGUGAUAUGAACCGUUAUAACCGGCGAUGUCCGAAUGGGGAAACCCAGUGUGAUUCGUCACACUAUCGUUAACUGAAUACAUAGGUUAACGAGGCGAACCGGGGGAACUGAAACAUCUAAGUACCCCGAGGAAAAGAAAUCAACCGAGAUUCCCCCAGUAGCGGCGAGCGAACGGGGAGCAGCCCAGAGUCUGAAUCAGCUUGUGUGUUAGUGGAACGGUCUGGAAAGUCCGACGGUACAGGGUGAUAGUCCCGUACACCAAAAUGCACAGGCUGUGAACUCGAAGAGUAGGGCGGGACACGUGGUAUCCUGUCUGAAUAUGGGGGGACCAUCCUCCAAGGCUAAAUACUCCUGACUGACCGAUAGUGAACCAGUACCGUGAGGGAAAGGCGAAAAGAACCCCGGCGAGGGGAGUGAAAAAGAACCUGAAACCGUGUACGUACAAGCAGUGGGAGCACCUUCGGGUGUGACUGCGUACCUUUUGUAUAAUGGGUCAGCGACUUAUAUUCUGUAGCAAGGUUAACCGUAUAGGGGAGCCGCAGGGAAACCGAGUCUUAACUGGGCGUUAAGUUGCAGGGUAUAGACCCGAAACCCGGUGAUCUAGCCAUGGGCAGGUUGAAGGUUGGGUAACACUAACUGGAGGACCGAACCGACUAAUGUUGAAAAAUUAGCGGAUGACUUGUGGCUGGGGGUGAAAGGCCAAUCAAACCGGGAGAUAGCUGGUUCUCCCCGAAAGCUAUUUAGGUAGCGCCUCGUGAAUUCAUCUUCGGGGGUAGAGCACUGUUUCGGCUAGGGGGUCAUCCCGACUUACCAACCCGAUGCAAACUACGAAUACCGAAGAAUGUUAUCACGGGAGACACACGGCGGGUGCUAACGUCCGUCGUGAAGAGGGAAACAACCCAGACCGCCAGCUAAGGUCCCAAAGUCAUGGUUAAGUGGGAAACGAUGUGGGAAGGCACAGACAGCCAGGAUGUUGGCUUAGAAGCAGCCAUCAUUUAAAGAAAGCGUAAUAGCUCACUGGUCGAGUCGGCCUGCGCGGAAGAUGUAACGGGGCUAAACCAUGCACCGAAGCUGCGGCAGCGACACUAUGUGUUGUUGGGUAGGGGAGCGUUCUGUAAGCCUGCGAAGGUGUGCUGUGAGGCAUGCUGGAGGUAUCAGAAGUGCGAAUGCUGACAUAAGUAACGAUAAAGCGGGUGAAAAGCCCGCUCGCCGGAAGACCAAGGGUUCCUGUCCAACGUUAAUCGGGGCAGGGUGAGUCGACCCCUAAGGCGAGGCCGAAAGGCGUAGUCGAUGGGAAACAGGUUAAUAUUCCUGUACUUGGUGUUACUGCGAAGGGGGGACGGAGAAGGCUAUGUUAGCCGGGCGACGGUUGUCCCGGUUUAAGCAUGUAGGCUGGUUGUCCAGGCAAAUCCGGAUAAUCAAGGCUGAGGUGUGAUGACGAGGCACUACGGUGCUGAAGUAACAAAUGCCCUGCUUCCAGGAAAAGCCUCUAAGCAUCAGGUAACAUCAAAUCGUACCCCAAACCGACACAGGUGGUCAGGUAGAGAAUACCAAGGCGCUUGAGAGAACUCGGGUGAAGGAACUAGGCAAAAUGGUGCCGUAACUUCGGGAGAAGGCACGCUGGUGUGUAGGUGAAGCCCCUGCGGGUGGAGCUGAGACCAGUCGAAGAUACCAGCUGGCUGCAACUGUUUAUUAAAAACACAGCACUGUGCAAACACGAAAGUGGACGUAUACGGUGUGACGCCUGCCCGGUGCCGGAAGGUUAAUUGAUGGGGUUAUCCGUAAGGAGAAGCUCUUGAUCGAAGCCCCGGUAAACGGCGGCCGUAACUAUAACGGUCCUAAGGUAGCGAAAUUCCUUGUCGGGUAAGUUCCGACCUGCACGAAUGGCGUAAUGAUGGCCAGGCUGUCUCCACCCGAGACUCAGUGAAAUUGAACUCGCUGUGAAGAUGCAGUGUACCCGCGGCAAGACGGAAAGACCCCGUGAACCUUUACUAUAGCUUGACACUGAACAUUGAGCCUUGAUGUGUAGGAUAGGUGGGAGGCUUUGAAGCGUGGACGCCAGUCUGCGUGGAGCCAACCUUGAAAUACCACCCUUUAAUGUUUGAUGUUCUAACGUUGGCCCCUGACCGGGGUUGCGGACAGUGUCUGGUGGGUAGUUUGACUGGGGCGGUCUCCUCCCAAAGCGUAACGGAGGAGCACGAAGGUUAGCUAAUCCUGGUCGGACAUCAGGAGGUUAGUGCAAUGGCAUAAGCUAGCUUGACUGCGAGCGUGACGGCGCGAGCAGGUGCGAAAGCAGGUCAUAGUGAUCCGGUGGUUCUGAAUGGAAGGGCCAUCGCUCAACGGAUAAAAGGUACUCCGGGGAUAACAGGCUGAUACCGCCCAAGAGUUCAUAUCGACGGCGGUGUUUGGCACCUCGAUGUCGGCUCAUCACAUCCUGGGGCUGAAGUAGGUCCCAAGGGUAUGGCUGUUCGCCAUUUAAAGUGGUACGCGAGCUGGGUUUAGAACGUCGUGAGACAGUUCGGUCCCUAUCUGCCGUGGGCGCUGGAGAAUUGAGGGGGGCUGCUCCUAGUACGAGAGGACCGGAGUGGACGCAUCACUGGUGUUCGGGUUGUCAUGCCAAUGGCACUGCCCGGUAGCUAAAUGCGGAAGAGAUAAGUGCUGAAAGCAUCUAAGCACGAAACUUGCCCCGAGAUGAGUUCUCCCUGAGACUUUAAGUCUCCUGAAGGAACGUUGAAGACGACGACGUUGAUAGGCCGGGUGUGUAAGCGCAGCGAUGCGUUGAGCUAACCGGUACUAAUGAACCGUGAGGCUUAACCUU